rnacentral:rRNA from 1 species
UACGUAGGGGGCAAGCGUUGUCCGGAUUUAUUGGGCGUAAAGGGCUCGUAGGCGGCCAACUAAGUCAGACGUGAAAUCCCUCGGCUUAACCGGGGAACUGCAUCUGAUACUGGAGAGCUCGAGUCCGGGAGAGGUGAGUGGAACUGCGAGUGUAGAGGUGAAAUUCGUAGAUAUUCGCAAGAACACCAGUGGCGAAGGCGGCUCACUGGCCCGGUACUGACGCUGAGGUGCGAAAGCGUGGGGAGCAAACAGG